UCCUUUUGACUGCUCUAGAGAUAGAGUCUUCCCCUUCGGGGGACAAAGUGACAGGUGGUGCAUGGUUGUCGUCAGCUCGUGUCGUGAGAUGUUGGGUUAAGUCCCGCAACGAGCGCAACCCUUAAGCUUAGUUGCCAUCAUUAAGUUGGGCACUCUAAGUUGACUGCCGGUGACAAACCGGAGGAAGGUGGGGAUGACGUCAAAUCAUCAUGCCCCUUAUGAUUUGGGCUACACACGUGCUACAAUGGACAAUACAAAGGGCAGCUAAACCGCGAGGUCAAGCAAAUCCCAUAAAGUUGUUCUCAGUUCGGAUUGUAGUCUGCAACUCGACUACAUGAAGCUGGAAUCGCUAGUAAUCGUAGAUCAGCAUGCUACGGUGAAUACGUUCCCGGGUCUUGUACACACCGCCCGUCACACCACGAGAGUUUGUAACACCCGAAGCCGGUGGAGUAACCAUUUAUGGAGCUAGCCGUCGAAGGUGGGACAAAUGAUUGGGGUGAAGUCGUAACAAGGUAGCCGUG
rnacentral:rRNA from 1 species